rnacentral:rRNA from 1 species
UACGGAGGGUGCAAACGUUGCUCGGAAUCAUUGGGCGUAAAGCGCACGUAGGCGGUCCUGCAAGUCGGGUGUGAAAGCCCUCGGCUCAACCGAGGAAGUGCAUCCGAAACUGCAGAACUUGAGUAGUGAAGAGGGUCUCGGAAUUCCCGGUGUAGAGGUGAAAUUCGUAGAUAUCGGGAGGAACACCAGUGGCGAAGGCGGAGACCUGGGCACAUACUGACGCUGAGGAGCGAAAGCGUGGGGAGCGAACAGG